CCUACGGGCGGCAGCAGUGGGGAAUAUUGCACAAUGGGCGCAAGCCUGAUGCAGCGACGCCGCGUGAGGGAUGGAGGCCUUCGGGUUGUAAACCUCUUUUAUCGGGGAGCAAGCGAGAGUGAGUUUACCCGUUGAAUAAGCACCGGCUAACUACGUGCCAGCAGCCGCGGUAAUACGUAGGGGGCAAGCGUUAUCCGGAAUUAUUGGGCGUAAAGGGCUCGUAGGCGGUUCGUCGCGUCCGGUGUGAAAGUCCAUCGCUUAACGGUGGAUCCGCGCCGGGUACGGGCGGGCUUGAGUGCGGUAGGGGAGACUGGAAUUCCCGGUGUAACGGUGGAAUGUGUAGAUAUCAGGAAGAACACCAAUGGCGAAGGCAGGUCUCUGGGCCGUUACUGACGCUGAGGAGCGAAAGCGUGGGGAGCGAACAGGAUUAGAUACCCGAGUAGUC
rnacentral:rRNA from 1 species